rnacentral:lncRNA from 1 species
GUUUGGAUUUGAUCUUCAAUAUUCUUAAUAAUGUCCGAAAUUCGUCCAAAACCCUAAGACAUAAUUCACCAUCCUCGUACCUCCCCUGUAUCUCCACCGGAGUUCGCCGCCGGCGGACCAAACCUACACCAAUCCGCCUCAAAUUCACACCACCAAUUCUCCUUGCCUUCCUCUUUCCAUUCCCACGCUUGAAAUCCCUCGAAUCAUAGCCCAAAUCUUCAAAUCUUCAAUUUUGUUUUUCCGGCCAAGUCGCAAAAUCACCCAAACCGGCCCAAAUUCACAUAAUACCUUCCCUUGACAUCCAUCAUCCCUAAUACCUCAUUAGUUUUUGUCAAAAGCCACCGGAACUGGACGAAUUCGGAAUCGAAGGUUCACGCUGUUUUGGGGUUGUUCGGAAGAUUUUUCAAGUCAAGUGACUUCAGGUAAAUAUUAUAGAUCUAUUUCUAUGAAAUGGACGUAUAAUAUUAACUUCAAGUUAAUUUCGUAGAUUUUCUUUGGAGACUAAAGCUUCAGUAAGUUCUUUCUCUCUUUAGUUCAGUUUAAUUCAUCGUUCAGUCUAGUCGAUCGAGCAUGGUUUUAGUUCCAGUCUAGGUUAGCAUCCUUUCGUCUUUUUUGUUAUAAAUGUUAAGGUUAAUUUGUCUUAGGUUAUUUUCAUUUCUUUGUUUAAAUUCGAAUUCAAUUUUGAUGUUGAUCAGUUUCAUGCUCAAAUAUUAGUUAAUUGGUUCAUUAGUUUGAUUUCGAUUAAUUUUGGUAGUUCACUGUUGAGUAUGGGUUUAAUUCGUCAAAUUGAUUAGUUAAAUUGUGUUUUUCGUUUAGGUUCGACUUCGAUUCCUUGGUUGUUUUGGGCAAUUCUGUUUGGUUGUUUAAUUGGGUUUAGUUUUAGUUUUUCCUCAUUUCAUUGUUCAUUGUCAAGGUAAUUAACUAGAGUUGGUUUAUAGCUGAUAGUUUAACUAGGGUAAAAAAGGGGCUGAGGUUUAGUUAGGCUAGGCAGUAAUUUCAGAAUGAAUUCAAGGGUAGUGUAGAUAUUUAGGAUUGGGUAGCACAUGAUAGUUGGAACUAGAAUCUUCUAGGACCUUCCAAAGUAGGGCUUUAGUGUAAGGUUCAGUAAUUUUAGUGUGUUGACUUGAGAAACAAGUCAAAAACUAAGGGAUUAAAAGCUGAAAAAGGGAGGGACUAAUAUGAAAAGUGAAAGUUGAGGGCUGCCCUCCCUUAGGCCUAUAUAAAGGCAUCAAAAUGCCUUGAAGAGCAAGUUGGGCAGCUCAAAAAUCACCCCAAUAACACUCUCCAAGCUUCCAGAUCUGGAUUUCAAAAAUUCAUAUUUGAAACUCCUUUAGAUCACAACUUCUUCAUAUAGAAAAACCAAAAAACAAUAGAAAGCUUAAUAGAAAACAAAAAAAAACAUACUGCUCCAGUGAAAUCCCGAGUUUAAUUUCAAAUUUUGAGCAUUCGAUCUUCAUCUCCAGUUCAAAGUCUGAUGUUUGAGGUUUCAGAGAGUUAUCAUAAGGGCGUUGAGUGAUUUUGGGUCCAGUUGAAUUGGUUUUUGGUUGAGCUUUUGCUAGCUGAAGGUUUUAGGUGCUUCUGGGUGCAUUUUCGAGUUUGUUUGGUUGCAUUUCGUGUAUUAUUUGAAGGUCUAAUUGGCUGCUGUGAGUCAUUUGUCAUUGCUGUUGGUGUUUGCUGAUAUAUUUGGCGUUUCUGAGUUCAAUUCCCCCUGUAUUGGUUACCUGAUUGACUACUGAGGGUUGUUUGAUAAUUCUGCUGUCCAAAGCUGAUCCCACUUGUUAUUUUGGAUAUUCCUGGGUUAAUUCCAUUGAUGCUGCUUUGUUGCGCUACUGCUGACCCCUUCUUCUUCUGUUUUGGAGUUUCAACCUCUAGGUACACUGUUUGAACCUCCCUGAUGUAACUGUCGAAUUGGCAUUUGAAAGGAAGAGAUUCCAUUAAACUUGUGCAUUGGAGAUUGUCUCUGAUUAGUUACUGUCUGUAGAUAGUUUUGUAGAAGCUAUUUAGGUUAUAAGCAUGUCUGAAACGUUAUUAUGUUAUUAUGUUAAUUGGACUGUCAACAUGUGUUUGUAAGGGUAACUUAGCACAAUUUCUAUCGGUUGCUUUUCCUAUGGUGUUGAAAUAAAAUUAGGCUGACUUUGUUUGUCAUGGCUUAUUGAAAUAACGUUGGUUUACAAUUAAUUAAUUGCUAAGAUUGAUGAUUGUUAAACAUGAAGUUGGUUCAGGGAUCAUAAGUUCCAAGGAGGUCUGGGUAGCAUUUGGUUCAAGUCCAUGAAUGUUAACUUUGUAGUUGAAUUCCCUUUUAUAGUUUGAUAAUGAGUGUUCAUGUUUUCCAGUUUGGCUCAUUGAAUUCGAUAGUUUAAUUCAGAUGACGGCAGUUAGUUUGAUCGAUACAACCAGAUUAAUCCAGAUUUGCAUAAGAACAAUUUGAAACAUUUUUUUCCUGUGACUAUCUGUUUUAAUCGAGG